rnacentral:rRNA from 1 species
UUUUCCCGCAAGGGGACGUCGAGACAGGUGUUGCAUGGCUGUCGUCAGCUCGUGUCGUGAGAUGUUGGGUUAAGUCCCGCAACGAGCGCAACCCUCACCCCAUGUUGCCAGCGGGUAAAGCCGGGAACUCUUGGGGAACUGCCGGGUAACCGGGAGGAAGUGGGAUGACGUCAAGUCAGCAUGGCCCUUACGCCCUGGGCUACAAACAUGCUACAAUGGACGGUAGACAAAGGGAUCCGAAGUCGCGAGGCGGAGGCAACCCCAGAAAUCCGUUCUCAGUUCAGAUCGCAGGCUGCAACUCGCCUGCGUGAAGUCGGAAUCGCUAGUAACCGCAGAUCAGCUAAGCUGCGGUGAAUACGUUCCCGGGCCUU